rnacentral:rRNA from 1 species
UACAGAGGUGGCGAGCGUUGUUCGGAAUCACUGGGCUUAAAGCGUGUGUAGGCGGACCAGUAAGUGUCUUGUGAAAUCCCUCGUCUCAACCGAGGAACUGCUCGGCAAACUACUGGUCUUGAGGUAGGCAUGGGUGCUUGGAACUCUUGGUGGAGCGGUGAAAUGCGUAGAUAUCAAGAGGAACGCCUGUGGUGAAAACGGAGCACUUGACCUAUUCUGACGCUGAGACACGAAAGCGUGGGGAGCGAACGGG